rnacentral:tRNA from 1 species
UCCACUACUUAGUUGGUAAAGCACAAAGCUCUUAACCUUGUGGACGUGGGUUCAAAGCCCCAUGGUGGAG